rnacentral:tRNA from 1 species
UCCCUGGUGGUCCAGCGGUUAAGACUCUGCACUCUCAAUGCAGGAGCCCAGGUUCCAUCCCAGGUCAAGGAA